UGGUUAAUAGUUAACCCUAAAGGCACACUUGCACUUUGUAUCCCCAAAUAGUAGAUGGAAGGUUUUGACAAAAUACCUUGCUGAUACCCAAGCUGAAAGGUUGGGAUCGCAUAACUCACCAAAGAACUAUGAUGAUGAAGGUGGGACUCCUUUUCCUCCUGACCCAUGUCUGCACCCUCACCCCUGUCUACCAAACUCAAGAGCAGAGCCCCAACAUCACAGACCUGACCUUCAAGAACAUGGACUUUGCCAUGAAUCUCUACAGGAAGAUUGCUGGUUACCAUGAUAAUAACAUAUUUUUCUCACCCCUGAGCAUAUCCACAGCUUUUGCUACCCUCUCCAUGGCAGCACAGGGUCCCACACGAGACCAGAUACUGAAGGGGCUCAACCUGGCCUACCUAGAUCGGGACAACCAGCCAGACAUAAUUCCAGAGCUCUUCCAACACCUCCAAGGGAACAUCACACAAGAUGAAUCAUUGAAACUGGACCAGAGCACUGCCUUCUUUGUUUGCCUAAAGUGUGAGGUAGAGAGUGACUACCUUGACCAGAUCAAGAAAUUCUUCAACGCUGAUAUAAAAAAUGUGGACUUUGCAAAUACAAAAGCUAGCGUUGGCAUGAUCAAUGAUUACAUAAUGAGAAAGACUGAUAACAAAGUCAAGGAGAUGGUCUCUGACUUGGAUCCACUUACCCAACUUAUCCUCAUCAACACCAUUUUCUUUCAGGGUGAAUGGCAGAUGCCCUUCAACCCCAAUCACACAGAAAUUCAACGCUUCUAUAUUGACAACUACAACAUUGUCCAGGUGCCUAUGAUGUUAAGAAUGGAGGAUAAGUUCUACACAAUGGAAGACUUUCCCCUGAAUGCCAAGGUGCUGAAGCUGCCAUACCGAAAUGGUGUUUCAAUGCUUAUCCUGCUACCCAACAAAGGCCUGGAUUAUACCACAAUAGAUGACGAAAUCACAGCUGAGAGAUUCCUCAGAUGGAUUAAAAACCUGAAAGAAAGUUCCUUUUUUUUAAAGGAAACUAGAAGUUCAACUGCCCAAGUUCAAGAUGGAGCAAUCCUACGCCAUGCACAAAAUCCUACCAGAUUUGGGUAUAUCCAGAAUCUUCCAUGACACCGCUAACCUCACUAAAUUGAGCAAAGACCCAGGCCUGAAGGUGUCAGAGGUGUUGCACAAGGCAGUGAUCGAGGUGGAUGAGAGAGGCACCACUGCAGCCGCUGCCACAGACAGCGGCAUUAUUGGAUACGCCUUACCCUCUUCCUUCAUCGUCAACCGACCCUUCUUCUUUUUUAUCUACCAUGAGGUCACUAACAGCUUGUUGUUCAUGGGCCGAGUGAUUGACCCCACCAAAAACGGAGUCUAAUGAAUACAGUGCAUUUGGUGCGUGGAGAGGUGUUACAUGUAAUAUGUUUCAUUUGUAUGUAUUAAAGGUGAACAGAUAUUCA